AGACAGAGGUGCCAAGCGUUAGGCGGAAUCACUGGGCUUAAAGCGUGUGUAGGCGGAUCGUUAAGUACCUUGUGAAAUCCCACGGCUCAACCGUGGAACUGCUCGGUAUACUGGCGGUCUUGAGCCACCUAGGGGCAACUGGAACAAGCGGUGGAGCGGUGAAAUGCGUAGAUAUCGCUUGGAACGCCAACGGUGAAAACAGGUUGCUGGGGGUGUGCUGACGCUGAGACACGAAAGCCAGGGGAGCGAACGGGAUUAGAUACCCCGGUAGUCCUGGCCCUAAACGAUGUCGACUAGAUCGUAGUGCCUCUUACGGUAUUACGGUCGAAGCAAAAGUGCUAAGUCGACCGCCUGGGAAGUACGGUCGCAAGGCUAAAACUUAAAGGAAUUGACGGGG
rnacentral:rRNA from 1 species